rnacentral:rRNA from 1 species
AGACAGCAGCCGCCGCGGUAAAACGGAGGGUGCAAGCGUUAUCCGGAUUUAUUGGGUUUAAAGGGUCCGUAGGCGGAUCUGUAAGUCAGUGGUGAAAUCUCACAGCUUAACUGUGAAACUGCCAUUGAUACUGCAGGUCUUGAGUAAAUUUGAAGUGGCUGGAAUAAGUAGUGUAGCGGUGAAAUGCAUAGAUAUUACUUAGAACACCAAUUGCGAAGGCAGGUCACUAAGAUUUAACUGACGCUGAUGGACGAAAGCGUGGGGAGCGAACAGGAUUAGAUACCCGAGUAGUCCCUGUCUCUUAUAC